rnacentral:rRNA from 1 species
GACGAACGCUGACGGUGUGCUUUAGACAUGCAAGUCGAACGAGAAAGCCCUUCGGGGUUAGUAAAGUGGCGAACGGGUGAGUAACACGUGGGCAAUCUGCCCCUCGCAGGGGGACGAACCGGAGGAAACUCCGGCUAAUACCCCGUAACGUUCAAAGGGAGGCAUCUCUCUUCGAAGAAAGGUAGCUUCGGCCAUCCGGCGAGGGAUGAGCCCGCGGUGCAUUAGCUAGUUGGUGGGGUAACGGCCUACCAAGGCGACGAUGCAUAGCUGGUCUGAGAGGAUGAUCAGCCACACUGGGACUGAGACACGGCCCAGACUCCUACGGGAGGCAGCAGUCGGGAAUCUUGCGCAAUGGGCGAAAGCCUGACGCAGCAACACCGUGUGUGUGA